AGCAAAGUUCACUCUCAGCAAACUUUGGGAGGCCAUGGAGGACUUCUAGAAUGAAUGAAAAGGGUGAAUGGAAAGGUUUGAUUUCCUUGUCUGGAGAUGGAAGAGUGGCCAGUCACCAGGCUAGUCCUAGAGUUCAAUAAGUAUGCAGCACCCUUUACUUUGCUCCUAGUGCUGACAGAGAAGCCCUAACAAUGGUGGUGACUUGUGUAAAAUGGAUGUUUAACCUACAAAUAACCAAUUUGGCUAGAAGCUGCAGUGCUGUACAAGAGGGUGAAGGAGGAUGUGCUCUGAGCAGGCCCAGGUGUGCGUAAGUUUAUUAGUCUAGUGAUGGCCAAAAAGUACUUGACUUAAUAAGGUUCAUUAAUUAGUUACAAAACUGAACAGCC
rnacentral:lncRNA from 1 species